CUCAGAGCAGUGUGACGACAAAGCUCCGCCGCUUAAUGACAGCACCUGAGACCAAACAGGAAACAGAUUGUUCCUGUUCAGUUCUCACUGAGGAGAGACACACAGACGGAGAGACAGACGCUGCACUCAGAGACAAAAUGGCUUCCAGAUUAGAGGAGGAUUUCUGCUGUCCGGUCUGUCAUGAUGUCUUUAGAGAUCCUGUUCUUCUGUCAUGCAGCCACAGCUUCUGUAAAGACUGUCUGAAGAGCUGGUGGACAGAGAAACAAACACGUGAGUGUCGAGUUUGUAAAAGAAGAUCUUCGAGGGAAGAACCACCCUGUAAUCUGACUUUAAAGAACCUGUGUGAGAGUUUCUUACAGGAGAGAGAUCAGAGAUCUUCAGAGGCUCUCUGCAGUCUGCACUCUGAGAAACUCAAACUCUUCUGUCUGGACCAUCAGCAGCCAGUGUGUCACAUCUGCAGAGAUUCAGAAAAACACUCCAACCACAGAUUCAGACCCAUUGAUGAAGCUGCACGACAACACAAGAAGGAACUUCAGGAAACUCUGGAGCCCUUAAAGGAGCAGUUAAAGGUUUGUGAAGGAGUUAAAGUGAAGUUUGAUCAAACAGCAGAACACAUGAAGGUCCAGGCCCAACGCACAGAGAGGAAGAUUAAGGAGCAGUUUAAGAAGAUUCACCAGUUUCUAGAAGAGGAAGAGGAGGCCAGGCUGGCUGCACUGAGGGAGGAAGAGGAGCAGAAGAGUCAGAUGAUGAAGGAGAAGAUGGAGGCUCUGAGCAGAGAGAUAGCAGCUCUUUCAGACACAGUCAGAGCCACAGAGGAGGAGCUGAGAGAUGAAGACGUCUCAUUCCUGAACAACUACAAGGCUGCAGUGGAAAGAGUCCAGCAGCGCCCCCAGCUGGAGGAUUCACAGCUGCCCUCAGGAGCUCUGAUAGACGAGGCCAAACACCUGGGCAACCUGACCUUCAACAUCUGGAACAAGAUAAAGGACAUGGUCUCCUACAGUCCUGUGAUUCUGGAUCCAAACACUGCUCAUCCAAAACUCAUCCUGUCUGAAGAUCUGACCAGUGUGAGAGAAGGAGAGAAACAGCAGCUUCCUGAUAAUCCAGAGAGGUUUGAUCGGUACUGCUCUGUUCUGGGCUCUGAGGGCUUUAACUCAGGGACUCACAGCUGGGAUGUCGAGGUUGGAGACAGUACAUUGUGGUUACUGGGUGUGUCAGUAGAGUCUGUCAAGAGGAAGGGACGCAAACUGUCUGGAUUAUGGAUAAUAUGGUUGAAUAAAGGUAAAUACUCAGCAUGGUCACCAUCAGCUCCACCAACUGAUCUUGUAUUUCAGAAGAAGGUCCAGAGGAUCAGAGUGAAUCUGGACUGGAACAUAGGAAAGCUGUCGUUCUCUGAUCCUGAUACUAACACACACAUACACACCUUCACACACACUUUCACUGAGAGGAUGUUUCCAUUAAUUUACACUGGGGAUAAAGUCCCAGUGAAGAUAUUACCAGUGAAGGUCAGUGUGACAGUGGAACAGAGCAGUUAGAGAUAAAGAGGAUGAUUAUAUUCAUGAUGUUUAUUUCUUAAAGAGAAAAGUCUCUGAAUUGAACCUGUUAAACUGAAACCUGCUCCUCAUUAUUCCAGCACUGCAGGAACAGACACAUAUUAUUAAAUAUAAUCAAAUGUUCAGGUAUUAAGCAAAUUAUUAGGCAAUUGAGCUGAAUUCAAGAAUUUGUGCCCUAAUUAGCAAAACAAAUCUUACAAUAAGACACAAUUCCUUCAAACACAAUAAAAAUAGUGACUUUGUCUUAAAUGAAGGAACUAAUUAAAUAACAAAAUAAAAUAGAAAAAUACAAGAUAUAAAGAAAAGAAAAUAGAAUUAGGUUUUUAUUUUUCACAAUGUGUAAAGUAUUUGUAAAAAUAAAGUGAAAAUAAAACAUUUGUAACAAGUUAAUUCUGCAGUUGGUGAAACAAUCUCAUCAUAAAGUCCAUCAGUUGGUUGUUCUGGUUCUUUCUGUUUAAUCUUCCUCAGCAGAUUCACCUGCACAUCCUCCUCCUCCUCCUCUCAGUAUCUGAUAUAUUGAAUUUACAUCCUUUUUUUUAUCGGAUUUUUAGUGAAAAUGUUUAUUUGAUAAAGAGUUUAUUAUAAGUUAUAUUAAAUAAAUAUAUAUAUUUAUAUAAUAUAAGCUGCUGUAAGUGAGUGUGACAGUGAAAGCAGACACACAGGUGUGCAGUCAUAUGACGUGUCCAGGUGUCAUAUAACUGCACAUGCGCUGGUUAAAGGACUGGUUGGAGGUUGAGGGUACAAACUGAAUCAGAACAGCGUGAUUUAAAUAUUUUAAUCAAAGUGAAAACACACACACACACACACACACACACACACACACACACGUCGCGUGGCUCUGAGGCUGUAAUGGCGGCAGUGCUGCACGAGGACAAAAACACCCUCUCAUGCUUUAAUUUGAUUGGAGCUCGUGACUCGUUUCCCUCAUCAACAACCAACAGAGUAAACAGCUGAUGAGAAUCAACCCGAAGGAAAUAACCAGGAAGAGGGCUGCACCCUGCCUUCACAAUAAAAGCUUCACACAUACGACAACCACUGAUGGAAACACCAGAGACAGAAAUGUUUGUGCCUUUUUACAUCAUUUACUAUAUUCUACUAAUAAUUUAAUUAGAUUUUGUUCUCUUUCUUUACUCUCUGUGCCAAUUUGACCAAUAAAGGAAGAGCUUAUCUCUUACAUCUUAAUUAAAAUCAUGUAUUUAUUGUUUUUGUUGUUGUUAUUACUGGUUGUGAUGUUUUAUUGUUUUAUUUUAACGUAUAAUAUAAUCAAAUAUUCAGGUAUUGAGCAAAACAUCUGCCAAUUGAGCAAAAUUUAAGAAUUUGUAUGUUUAAGAUGAAUAAUUAGCAAUUAGAGCCCAACCGAUUUAUCAGCGGGACGAUAUUAGGCAUUUUCCAAACUAUCGGUAUCUGCAUUUAUAAUGGCCGAUAAAUUUAUAUUUUAAAAAAUAAAAUAAAAACGGACGAAACACCCUUCAACCAUGUUAUGAGUGUUGGUGUUGCAUAGUUUGUCCACCAGAGGGCACAACAUCCCUGUUGGCAACACUCGUGUUUAGAACGCAACAAACCUUACAACCUGCUGAUCCAGCCAGAGUUGGGCAGAGCGAACGAGUUAUCCAUGACUGAGAUCAUCGGUGAAGUGUGUUCAUGGUAUGUUGGCAACUGUCACGAGACAUACAUUGCUUGAAUAACAAUUAAAAGAACAUCCCCAUCACUUCUCUAAACUCAAUAAGCAUGACAAAAUUCAUGACUACCAUGUCCAGUUUUGCUGCUGUUAUGUGUAAGCCGAGAGUGAAACGGAUUUAGCUAGUACGUUAGUUAGUUGCAAUUACAGAGAAGACAGAGUAUUGAACCUAGCACAAUGCUGUAUUUAACUUUAUCCACCGACAACUGUAACUCACACUGUACAUUUACUGCUAGACCUGAUAACUUACUUCUCUGCUCUGCUGCCGUUCACCGCCGCGCUCGCUUAUGCGCUCUCUCUCUCUCCCGCUCUAUUCCUCCUUAUAACAUUCAUUAGUCAAAAUGACUUUGCCAAGAAAGAGACUAAACUUAGCAAACUAAACAGUGAGUAAACCUACUUCAUGUAAAAUGCUGCUUCAGACACUUUUGCUGAUGCACAGAUGUGAAAAUGUAUGUAAAUUUAAAAUAAUUUCUAGAUCUUCACUUGUUUUAAUUAUUAUUUUAGUGAGGACUCAUAAAUAACUACAAAUAAUUAAUGUUAGGGAAAUCUGUUUAUGUUUUGUUACGCGUUUCUGGAAUUUCUUUUUUUAAAUAUAUAUCGGCCGAUAUAUAAUAUAUAAUGUGUUUUAUUAAAACAAUGAAAAACUAAACAGCUGCUUCAUUUCCAACACUGGGACAACAAUAAAAACCUAAUUCUAUUUUAUUUUCUUUAUAUCUUGUAUAUUUCUAUUUUAUUGUGUCAUUUAAUCUUAUUUCUUUUUUCUCAUCUGAUAUUUUCUAUCUGGUUUAUUAUUCUGAUUGUUUUUGUUUUCUUUUGGUUAUUUAGUCAGUCAGAGGACAAGUUCUUCUAUUUAAGGUGGACGUCUCAUGUUUAAGGUGGAACGUCUCAGUUUGGGUUCAGACUGUAUGUAAUGUAGCUGAUUUCAGAAUAUUAAUUAACAUUAAUGCUGAAUGUACAUAACAGUCACGUUAUUCUUUUCCUAUCAUAUUAAACAGUAAUGUUACCUACAAAGAGACUUGAACAAAGCAAACAUAAAAAAUUGGUAAAAUGCCAGAUUUUGUUGUCCACCCCUAAUCCCAGAAUACAGCAUGAUGCUUGUAAACUUUGUUAUAAUCCCAUGAACUGUUGUCGUGCUCCAACACCUGAGAGCUCUGGUUCAAAAUGAUCGUGUUGUUUGUAGUCGAGUUGGGCCUCUUUCAGGGGGGUCUUGCUCCGGUGUAGGAGGGUAUGGAGGCCCUUCAUAAUCCACCUACACUGCUGACAAUAUAUUAAAUAUCUGUGCCACAAACUGGACUGUGAUUGGCUGAAGCUCUGCUACGUGGUUGUGCAACUCAUGAAGGUGGUUCCUUACAGACUAAGAGAUGUCAUUCAUUGAUCCUGAUGGCUCCAUAUCGAGGCAAAUAUUGGAAAAUAUGAAAGUGUAAUUAAACCGCUUCCUGCUGAAAA